rnacentral:rRNA from 1 species
GUGGGGAAUCUUGCGCAAUGGGCGAAAGCCUGACGCAGCCAUGCCGCGUGAAUGAUGAAGGUCUUAGGAUUGUAAAAUUCUUUCACCGGGGACGAUAAUGACGGUACCCGGAGAAGAAGCUCCGGCUAACUUCGUGCCAGCAGCCGCGGUAAUACGAAGGGGGUUAGCGUUGUUCGGAAUUACUGGGCGUAAAGCGCGCGUAGGCGGAUCGGAAAGUUGGGGGUGAAAUCCCGGGGCUCAACCCCGGAAUUGCCUUCAAAACUCCCGGUCUUGAGGUCGAGAGAGGUGAGUGGAAUUCCGAGUGUAGAGGUGAAAUUCGUAGAUAUUCGGAGGAACACCAGUGGCGAAGGCGGCUCACUGGCUCGAUACUGACGCUGAGGUGCGAAAGCGUGGGGAGCAAACAGGAUUAGAAACCCUGGUAGUCC